GAACGCUUUCCGUCAGGAUCUGUAUGGGACGGUACGUUGACGAAACAUAAGACUGGAGCAAAGAGAGCAAAAAAAGCACUUGCUAAAUGGAGGACUACUUUGAGAUGGCUGCUAUUCUCCGGCUUAUUGCCUCCUGUCGGCCAUGGUUUCACAUGAGGUCCGGGGUGUCAGGUCCGCUUCCACCAAUAAAGGCUGUGAUUGACACUAGCGGGAGAGACUUGAGCUGGGAAAAGAAACUGAAUCUCAAUGUAUGAGGGUUGGAGGCUGGGGACAAGAUAACGAUUAGGAAGCUGUUUCCCUGAACAUGCUGAGAGAGAUGCAAAACCAGACGCUCGAGGCAAACAGCAGAGAAGUCACCAUACAUGUCCCUGAUGGAAGAAGACCUGAGAUUACCUCAUUAUGGCCUAUAAGAUGUUGUCCCUUUGGAUGCUUUUUUUUAAUACUUAUAAUGUAAGGAAUGCAUCUUACAUAUAUCUC